rnacentral:rRNA from 1 species
UACGAAGGGGGCUAGCGUUGCUCGGAAUCACUGGGCGUAAAGGGUGCGUAGGCGGGUCUUUAAGUCAGGGGUGAAAUCCUGGAGCUCAACUCCAGAACUGCCUUUGAUACUGAAGAUCUUGAGUUCGGGAGAGGUGAGUGGAACUGCGAGUGUAGAGGUGAAAUUCGUAGAUAUUCGCAAGAACACCAGUGGCGAAGGCGGCUCACUGGCCCGAUACUGACGCUGAGGCACGGAAAGCGUGGGGAGCAAACAGGGAUUAAGAAACCCC